rnacentral:rRNA from 1 species
AUUGAACGCUGGCGGCAGGCCUAACACAUGCAAGUCGAGCGAGCGGCGGACGGGUGAGUAAUGUAUGGGGACUGCCCGAUAGAGGGGGAUAACUACUGGAAACGGUAGCUAAUACCGCAUACUAUCGGAUAACCCAUAUGGGAUUAGCUAGUAGGUGAGGGAAUGGCUCACCUAGGCGACGAUCCCUAGCUGGUCUGAGAGGAUGAUCAGCCAACCGGGGGUGUAGACACGGCCCAGACUCCGACGGAAGACGCAGGGGGGAAUAUUUCACAAUGGGCGCAAGCCUGAUGCAGCCAUGCCGCGUGUAUGAAGAAGGCCCUAGGGGUGUAAAGUACUUUCCGUCGGGAGGCGUUACCGACAGAAGAAGCACCGGCUAACUCCGUGCCAGCAGCCGCGGUAAUAC